UAUAAAGUCCAACUCUACCAUUCCAUCUUUGUCAGAUUGUACUGUCUUCAGUAUGGUUGACUACUCGCCCUGGUUGCUCCUGGUUCACCAGUUAGGAAGACUUACCUGUUCACGGCUCUUUUGGAUCAGCUACUGGGAUCUCCAAGACCACCUACACUCACCUGCUCUCCAGCAGAGUUGUUGGAAACCAUGUGUCUUUUUAUUUCUUUGUUUGUUUUCAAUGCAAAUUUGGUAUUAACUCUAGAAAUUACUCAGCCUUUAUUCAAAUUCAGUCCCAGUGGUCAAGUAUCUUCUACUUUGGGGUUGACUGCAUACAGGCAGUUUACACUUUGGGCCAGGGGGCAUUUUGUGAAGAAGCACCAGAUCCAGAGCCAGAUCCUUAUUCCAGCCUGGGGUGUCACAGCUCAGUCACAGCUGUUUUUACCUUUCUGGAAUAUCAUGAUUU